AUUGAACGCUGGCGGCAUGCUUUACACAUGCAAGUCGAACGGUAACAGGCCGCAAGGUGCUGACGAGUGGCGAACGGGUGAGUAAUGCAUCGGAACGUGCCCAGUCGUGGGGGAUAACGCAGCGAAAGCUGCGCUAAUACCGCAUACGAUCUAUGGAUGAAAGCGGGGGACCGUAAGGCCUCGCGCGAUUGGAGCGGCCGAUGUCAGAUUAGGUAGUUGGUGGGGUAAAGGCUCACCAAGCCGACGAUCUGUAGCUGGUCUGAGAGGACGACCAGCCACACUGGGACUGAGACACGGCCCAGACUCCUACGGGAGGCAGCAGUGGGGAAUUUUGGACAAUGGGCGCAAGCCUGAUCCAGCAAUGCCGCGUGCAGGAAGAAGGCCUUCGGGUUGUAAACUGCUUUUGUACGGAACGAAACGGUCCUGGUUAAUACCCGGGGCUAAUGACGGUACCGUAAGAAUAAGCACCGGCUAACUACGUGCCAGCCGCCGCGGUAAUAC
rnacentral:rRNA from 1 species